rnacentral:SRP_RNA from 1 species
GCCAGGUGUGGCGGUGCAUGCUUGUAAUCCCAGCUACUUGGGAGGCUGAGGCAGGAGGAUAGCUUGAGCCCGGGAGGCAGAGGUUGCAGUGAGCUGACAUCACGCCACUGCACUCUAGCCUGGGCAACAGAGUGAGACCCUGUCUCUA